ACACUCAGUGGACUUUUGGACGU
rnacentral:miRNA from 1 species